GAAGGCACAGCUCAGUGGUAGAGCAUGUGCUUCACAUGCACGAGGUCCUGGGUUCAAUCCCCAGUACUUCCA
rnacentral:tRNA from 1 species